GACGUACUGUACAUAUUCCCAUCACUCCAUUUACCGCCCUGCUUGUAUCUGCUGACUUCACUGAACUAUGAGCACCUAGAUGGUAAAACAUAUUCACAUGAAAUUAAGAGAUGGAGUAUUUCAUUGAGAUUAAAAGAAAGCCAUUAAAAGGAAUGAUAAAUUGUGAAAACCGGGUGUGACUGCCUAGCCAGACAUGUACUUCCAAGAUCAGAGACUACGUGCUUCAGUUCAUAAACACAGAGGAAAACCGGCUGGCCUAAUUUAAUGGUGCCCUGGGUGAAGUUUUCAGGGCUUUGCAGGAAAUCUCAGAGGCUCAUUGAUACAAAGAAGUCAGCAAGAAUCAUGACCGAUACUGAGUUUAAUGUGAGAGUUAGGGCACAAAAUGAAAACCAAAAUGGAGGUUUUCGGUUCAAAGAAGAAUUACGAAGAUAUAAAGAAAAUUCUCAUAAUUUAAAGAUUACUAUAAAACAUAAACGUCAAACUUUGUGUGGAAGAGUAAAACUUAUUCCUGUCCUGGGAAAUGAAGUAAAAUGGAAUCCAGGAGUAAUUCUGACUAAAAGUCUGAGUUUACGAACUUCCAGUGCUGCAAAACUGACAAUCUCCUUUCAUGAACUAGAUCGCUAUGCACAAAAGGUGUAUCAGCUAGCUCUGUCCAUCUGGAGAAGAAAAAAUUCCCGCUGCACUUCCUUCGUAGCGUGA
rnacentral:lncRNA from 1 species